rnacentral:rRNA from 1 species
UACGUAGGUGGCAAGCGUUGUCCGGAUUUACUGGGCGUAAAGAGCGCGCAGGCGGUCGUUCAAGUCGCGUGUGAAAGCCCCCGGCUCAACUGGGGAGGGUCACGCGAUACUGAUCGACUCGAAGGCAGGAGAGGGAAGUGGAAUUCCCGGUGUAGUGGUGAAAUGCGUAGAUAUCGGGAGGAACAUCUGUGGCGAAGGCGGCCAUCUGGACCAGCACUGACACUGAGGCACGAAAGCGUGGGGAGCAAACAGG